UACGUAGGGUGCGAGCGUUGUCCGGAAUUAUUGGGCGUAAAGAGCUCGUAGGCGGUCUGUCGCGUCUGCUGUGAAAUCCCGAGGCUCAACCUCGGGCCUGCAGUGGGUACGGGGCAGACUAGAGUGCGGUAGGGGGAGACUGGAAUUCCUGGUGUAGCGGUGAAAUGCGCAGAUAUCAGGAGGAACACCGAUGGCGAAGGCAGGUCUCUGGGCCAUUACUGACACUGAGAAGCGAAAGCGUGGGGAGCGAACAGG
rnacentral:rRNA from 1 species